GAUGAACGCUUGCGGCAGGCCUAACACAUGCAAGUCGAGGGAGGAGCCCUUCGGGGCAGAAACCGGCGCACGGGUGCGUAACGCGUAUGCAACCUACCUUUCACAGGGGGAUAGCCCGAAGAAAUUUGGAUUAAUACCCCAUAAUAUUAUUGGGUGGCAUCAUUUGAUAAUUAAAAUUACGAUGGUGAAAGAUGGGCAUGCGUCCUAUUAGCUAGUUGGAGUGGUAACGGCACCCCAAGGCUACGAUAGGUAGGGGUCCUGAGAGGGAGAUCCCCCACACUGGUACUGAGACAGGGACCAGACUCCUACGGGAGGCAGCAGUGAGGAAUAUUGGUCAAUGGUCGGAAGACUGAACCAGCCAUGCCGCGUGCAGGAAGAAUGCCUUAUGGGUUGUAAACUGCUUUUAUAUGGGAAGAAUAAGGAGUACG
rnacentral:rRNA from 1 species